GAUGAAGAACGCAGCGAAAUGCGAUAAGUAAUGCGAAUUGCAGAAUUCCAGUGAGUCAUCGAAUCUUUGAACGCACAUUGCGCCCUUUGGUAUUCCGAAGGGCAUGCCUGUUCGAGCGUCAUUAUCACCCCUCAAGCCCUCGGCUUGGUGUUGGACGGUUUGGUGGAGGUCCCCUCGGGGGCUCCUGCCCCUCCCAAAGACAAUGACGGCGGCCUCGUUGGACCCCCGGUACACUGAGUUCUUCACGGGACACGUAUCGGACACAUGGGUUUACGGGACACGGUCUGCCUCCCCUCAGGGAGAAUCUUUCUAAGGUUGACCUCGGAUCAGGUAGGGAUACCCGCUGAACUUAAGCAUAUCAAAAGCGGAGGA
rnacentral:misc_RNA from 1 species